rnacentral:rRNA from 1 species
UACGGGGGGGGGUAAGCGUUGUUCGGAAUUACUGGGCGUAAAGGGUGCGUAGGCGGCGCGGUAAGUCGGGUGUGAAAUCUCGGAGCUUAACUCCGAAACUGCAUUCGAUACUGCCGUGCUUGAGUACUGCAGGGGAGACUGGAAUUCCUGGUGUAGCGGUGGAAUGCGCAGAUAUCAGGAGGAACACCGGUGGCGAAGGCGGGUCUCUGGGCCGAUACUGACGCUGAGGAGCGAAAGCGUGGGGAGCGAACAGGAUUAGAUACCCC